rnacentral:rRNA from 1 species
GACGAACGCUGGCGGCGUGCUUAACACAUGCAAGUCGAACGGAAAGGCCUGCUUUCCCUUGUGGAUUGCGGGUACUCGAGUGGCGAACGGGUGAGUAACACGUGAGUGAUCUGCCCCCAACUUGGGUAUAAGCCUGGGAAACUGGGUCUAAUUCCCGAUAGGACUGCAGGGUGGUGCCUGUGGUGGAAAACGAUUUUCUAGUGGUUGGGGAUGAGCUCGCGGCCUAUCAGCUUGUUGGUGGGGUAAUGGCCUACCAAGGCGGCGACGGGUAGCCGGCCUGAGAGGGUGGACGGCCACAUUGGGACUGAGAUACGGCCCAGACUCCUACGGGAGGCAGCAGUUGGGAAUAGUGCACGAUGGGCGGAAGCCUGAUGCAGCGACGCCGCGUGGGGGAUGACGGCCUUCGGGUUGUAAACUCCUUUCGACCGCGAGGAAGCCACCUGGUUGGAAGGGUGGUGACGGUAGUGGUAGAAGAAGCACCGGCUAACUACGUG